GUUGACCUCGGAUCAGGUAGGGAUACCCGCUGAACUUAAGCAUAUCAAUAAGCGGAGGAAAAGAAACCAACAGGGAUUGCCCUAGUAACGGCGAGUGAAGCGGCAACAGCUCAAAUUUGAAAUCUGGCGUAAGCCCGAGUUGU
rnacentral:rRNA from 1 species